GAUUUUCAUACGGUCCUUACUUUUUAGUAUUUUCAUUUUAAUUCGAGUUGUGGCAAAAUUUGUUCGCUGAAAAGAAAAUAUUCCGGUCCCUAAAUAGUCUAACUAAUGUGAGUGGACUAAAAUGCCAUUUAAUAUUGCAAAAAAAAAAAAAAGAAAGAAUUAAAUCGUCUCUCAAAUUUACUUUUCUCUCAUCUCUUUGGAAGCCCUAGAUCCCCGUCCUUUUCAAAUCUCCAAAAUUCAUCCUCAGAUCUGUCGUUUUGAGCAAUUUUAAUGAUCUCCCGGCAAUGAGUUCUUCUACACUAGGUUUGACGUCAGGUACAAUUGGACGCUAUAAAACAGAGGUACUCCCUGUCAGAAACAAAGACGAGACUCGAAUGUUGACAUUCAUGUUCAAGCUUUGGGGAAAGCACAAACACUCAUGUAAUGAGUACAGAGUGUUGGCGAUGGACGCAAUGUUGUGGUGAUUUAACUUAUAUUAUCUGAUGCUAAAGGGAAGGUGAAUAUAAAUCACUUUUGCGAUGGCAGGUUUUGAAGACUUGAAUAUAUAGUGGGAGAUGGAGCUUUUAAAGACUUCAUACAAGUUGACUAAAUAGAUAUUAUUUUGAUAGAGCUAUUAGGAAAAAAAUACAUUGUUUUCUAUGUAUCCGUACAGUGACACUAAUGCAAUGUUACUCAUUUAAUAUUAUAGUAUA